AGUGAACGCUGGCGGUAGGCCUAGCACAUGCAAGUCGACCGGCAGCACAGUAAGAGCUUGCUCUUACGGGUGGCGAGUGGCGGACGGGUGAGGAAUACAUCGGAAUCUACUUUUUCGUGGGGGAUAACGUAGGGAAACUUACGCUAAUACCGCAUACGACCUACGGGUGAAAGCAGGGGAUCUUCGGACCUUGCGCGAUUGAAUGAGCCGAUGUCGGAUUAGCUAGUUGGCGGGGUAAAGGCCCACCAAGGCGACGAUCCGUAGCUGGUCUGAGAGGAUGAUCAGCCACACUGGAACUGAGACACGGUCCAGACGCCUACGGGAGGCAGCAGGGGGAAUAUUGGACAAUGGGCGCAAGCCUGAUCCAGCCAUACCGCGUGGGUGAAGAAGGCCUUCGGGUUGUAAAGCCCUUUUGUUGGGAAAGAAAAGCAGCAGGUUAAUACCCCGCUGCUCUGACGGUACCCAAAGAAUAAGCACCGGCUAACUUCGUG
rnacentral:rRNA from 1 species